UUGGCCGGCUGAGCUUGAGGCUGAGCAGGAGCGGACGGUUUCUUAGGCUUCUCAACCUUGAGCUGAGCAGCCACGAGGAGUUGAGUGGGGUCCUCAUUGUCAUCGUCAACGAGGAGAUCGAAAGGGUUCGUGGUUGCCAUUUCUUUCAAUAGUUUGAUAAACAAACUGAAUUGAAACUCUUGCUUUUUAACUUAAAAACAGCAACCACGACCCUCUAGUGCUUGUUUAAACCCAUUAGUGAUGAAACGAUUUAAGAUUGAUAGAGUAUUUCAGAAUUGUAUUGGGUAAGCUAGGUUUGGGAGGAGAGAAAAUGGAGAGGAAGUGAUGAGAAAAAUGAAAGACAAAAGUGAGAAUUUUGAGAAAGAGUCGAAAACCCUAGCCAAUGCGGCAGGGAAGAGAGAG
rnacentral:misc_RNA from 1 species